GGCCCGUUAGCUCAGUUGGUUAGAGCGUCGUGCUAAUAACGCGAAGGUCGCGGGUCUGGAUCCCCCCACGGGCCA
rnacentral:tRNA from 1 species